GUCCUGUUGGGAAACACGGGUAGCUGGGGCUGUGGGUGGUGGGGAGAGGAGCAACCUUCAUCCAGGGAUGCUUGAAAGCAAAGGAGCCCCCAGCCCUGCCCGGGCAGGCAGAGCCCGAGCUCUGCACAGCGGGAGAGGUCGCUCCUGGAGCCAAGGUAGAUCCAGCCCUUGCUGGAGGACGGGGACAGAGAGAGGCCGAGAAGGUCUUGCAGAGGAGACUCAACCUGGAGCUCCUGACCCCAGACCAGCCUCACCACCACCUCCUGCAUGAGGAUGGAUCCCUGGGAGCAGGGGCUGGGGUGAUUUGGGGGAUCUCCAUCAGCAACAUGGGCCACCCUAGCGUGAGAGGACAUCACGUUCCCCCGAAAUCAGCCUGGAGGCUGGGAGCGAGCUCAUCCCCAAGGGUCAGGGACACCCCAAGAGGUGCUGGACCCUGAGGGUGGGGUGGUGUGAGGACAGCAAAGGAAAUCAGAGAUACGAGCAGGAAAUAACAAACGUGAGUCAGAAGAGAAGCACGCGCACAAGGGCAGCUUGGGGAAGCUAAUCUGCAAGGAGAUAACGCUGCUGGGAUGGGGGAAAUCAGACACGAGAUUGUAAAAAGGGAGAACCAAGGCUUUCCAAACCAUCCAUCGUGGGUCUGUGCAUCAUGCCUGGCUGCGUCACCCAUGGGUGCUGGGGGCAGCGUGGGCUGGAGCCAUGCUCAGCACCCAGCCUUGGAUGCUGUGGACAGCACGUGCGUGUCAGGGCACCCCGGCAGCCUCCAAAGGCUUCCAAAGCCCCUGAAAUCCCACCCUGGGUGCUGAUCCCCCUGCAGACAGGGCUAGCCCCCGCACAGCCAGCCUGCUUUUAGUCUGCUGGAGAUUAAGCUCUCUGGGGGCCUAAUGGCAAUUCUUUUGGCACGCGUUCAGCAAACCUUAAUCCAUCUUAUCUCCUCUCUGAAAGGAUGAGCUCGGUGCCUCUCCAAGCGCUCCAUGGGGAGCAGAAGCGGCGGGAGCCCUGGCAAUGCGCAAGCUGCUGCGGGCUCCCUGGGGAUGCCCUACAUACAGCAAGGAGGUGGCAGGGCAGAGGCCAGAGCAAUUUGACAGCCUGGGAGGAGGAAGAGGAUGACGCCAGGGAGGCUGACAGGGAGUGCCCCGCACAGCAGCACCUUUCUCCCCAGAGCUGAUGUCACUGGGAGUCCCGGCUGGAAUACAGGGAGCACUGGUUUAUUUGGGAUAUGCCUGGGUGUGGGCCAGAGGUGGUGUCUGGAUGGGACAGGGUUUGGCCCUGAGGCACAUCCCUGCUCCCUCCAUGCAAGGGCUCCCACACCAGCACUGGCUCCAUCCCCUCCGCUGGGCUCCCUCGGUCCCCAGGGAUGCCCCCGUUAUCCCCACGGUGUCCUGAGAGCAUCCCGGCACUGCGGGGUGUGGGGCCGUGCUCCCACUGCUGCUCUCACACUCGGGCACACAAACCUUGAACCUGCCUGGCUGCAAACCUGUCCUGACACCACUAAUUAUAACCGUGCUAAUUGCGCAGCUCUGCCUGAUUCGUUUGGUCAGCUCCACGGCUCGCUGUCACGGGAACGCCAACGAGGGCUGGCAUUUGCCCCCCUGGCCGCCGUCUGGAGCACGGAGCCGUGUCUGACACCCAAGGGCACCGCGGCUCAGCCCAGCACAGACACACGGCCCCAGGACUUGCGGCGCAGACGCCCUCCAAGUGCACCAAGCACCUCCAGCACCAGCCCCCGAAGGUGACCGGCUGGGUGGCAGCCAGGCAGCCAGUCCCAAACCCCCCAGUGCCGUGGGAUCUGCCCUUCCUGAACCCCUUCCACAGGAAAGCAGAGAGGACAGAGAAACCAUGUGCAGAGCUUGAAAUUCUCCACUUUUCUUGAUCAAAGCUCUGCUGGCAGUGGGUGUUUGGGGACUUUGUUUCCAGACGUGGUGUCCCUUGGGUGACCGAUGGCCCAGGGGCUCGCUGGCUCCUGCCCUGGCACCAGACCAGCGUGCUGGGUGCCCAGAGCUAUGCACGCCUUCACAGGGAGGUUUCCUGCUCGCAGUUGGGCUCAUGGCUGUGGUGAGAUGGCUGGGGACAGCGGCAGGAGGUGGUGGUGGUGCUUUGUGCCCCUUGCACCCAUGGCACUGCAAGGUGGGACCAAACCCACCAGCCCUGCUCCAGCCUCCUGUAGUUUUGCACCAUUUGCAGAGGGAGUCCCUGCUGGUGAUCCUGUUGUGGGCUGUGGCCAGCCCCAUCCCCAGCCCUAGAUGCUUACAAAAUCCCAGCACGGACCAUGCCCUUCUAACCAUGGGAUUCGAAGGAAGAAAAACACCCCUGGGCAGGAGGGGUUGGUGGUGGUUGCGGCUUUCCAACAUGCUUGAGCAACUUGUUUGUGCUCUUCGGCUGUGGGAGCUGUGGGCUCGGGUGGGCUGGUCUCACCUGGACCAUGAAGCAUCACCAAAAGGUGCUGGGGCUGUGGUUUGGGUGUGGUGAGGCUGCUGGCGCCGAGGGAGCCGCGGCACGUGCGGGGCAGGCGAGCUGCAGCGGUCCCCAGUGUGGGCAGCAAGGCUUUUGGUUUCCAGUUUCCUUGUUGAAACCAGAAAAAUAUAACCACACUUGGGAGAUAAAAAAAAAAACAAAAAAAAACAAAGCAAAACAAAACAAAAGAGCUAUUUUGGUGGGAAGGAAAUAUUUUUGCUGAAAUAUUUCACUCUUGCAAUUAGCCACACGCCCUUUCCCUUGGCUGUGGGUGGUGGGAGAUGCUGCCGGCUGUCUCUCCUUGCACCUCUCGCUUUCACUCCUCCCACGGCCGUGGGUAGAAGGCUCGGGGCCCCCGGGUGCCCUGGCACUGGUGGGCGAGCAGCCAGCAGGGCCCUCAUGGCCCCCCCCGAGCUGCGUGGGGACAGCCCGGUGGUGGCAGUGGCAGGGAAAGGGGUGAAAAUAAGAGGGGCAGAUCCCAUGGCUGCAGCAUCCCUGCCCCUGGGAUGCAUCCCAGCGAGGCGGUGAUGAUCUCUCCAUGGCCGCAGCACCCAUGGGUGUUGCCUCUGCUGCCGGAUUUCCUGCUGGAGAGCUGUGGCUGGGCCAUGGCUCAGCAUCGCUGCCCGCCGGCCUUGCUCCCGGCCUUGGGCCUGUUUGCUUCGCAUCAGGCUGUGUCCUCACCCCGCCGCCCGUGAGUCAGCGUCUCGGGGCAGCCAAAAAAGCCCUGCAAAGCCCCGCGGGUGCUGCUGGGGUGAAAGCCCAGCCAGCGAAGCCAUCGCACUGCCUGGCCCCCAGCCCUCCUGCCUCCCCAGCGCGGUGUCACGGAGCUCGCUGGGGAUGUGUGAGCCGGGCACGGCCACCAGCCCUGCCACGGGCUGGAGUCGGAGCAUUGAGGGACCCUCCCCAAGAUCUCAGGAGCCUUGGCUGGAAAAUGCAGCAGCACUUGCAAGCGGCGCUCAUUCCCUCCUCGCCUCCCAGAGCUCCUUUUCCCUCUGGAAGAGGAAAUGAAUUAAUUGAGCGGAUGAAUUGAGCAAGAAUUAAUUGAGAAGGAGAAAACAAAGCUGGAUAUUUGCAAGUGAGACGUGAAGCACUGCAGGACCUGCCCGCCACUCUCUGCUGCAGGGGCGCAGAGUUUCUGACCCCGGCUCGUCCCACUCCAGCCCCAGCCACUGGAUGCCCUUGUGUCCAUUCACGCCCUGCUGCGUUGCAUCACCGCUUGAACGCGGGUGCAUGCCGUCUCUAAAGCAACUUGCGGCUAAAAAUGGGUAUAAAGUUUGAUCUGAGCCCGUGCCAAGAUUAAUUUUUAAUUGCUUCUAAUUUCACUCUGCUGGUGUUGGCGAGCCCAGCCCGGCAGAAAGGUCGAGUGGCAGGUGCAGGGCUGGGUUACCCACGGGCAAUGCUCCGGCCGGCGCACACCGGAGGUCUGCAGACCCGUGAGGGCUCGGGCUUUUCAGCUCUGGCAGCAGACAGGACCAGUGCCCUGUGGUUGUCUGCCUGUCCCCGCUGUGCUUGUGUGGGCUCCUGGUUCGUCCCCUGCUCCCCGUGGCUCUUAGCAGCCCUGGGAGCCCCUCUCCUUGCCUCCAGCUGAUGCGAUCAGGCAUCCUGAUGGAGCCCCUGAAGCCAGGGACUUGCAAUUUUUCAGCUGUUGCCUUAGCGCAUCCAAAUGACCCACGCGGUGUUAGAAAUUGCCAUUAAACCCCAAAUACCCCCUGGCAUUCCUGGGUCCAUUCCUGCCUCCCCCUUCCCAUCCCAUCGCUGGGCAUCAGGGGAGUGUUUCUGGCACGGAGACAUGCAGGGAAGCCCAGAUUCUCUGCUUACAUGCCCCAGGGGGCAUCUCCUCUGCCCAGCAUCUCCCUGCCCUGCUGAGCAGGGAUUAGGAGCCUGCAUUCCCAGGGCAGCUCGCGGCUGCCGUCAGAGAGAGUGCAAAUUGCUUGGCCCUGGCUCAGCACCCCGGCACCUUCCACAAAAUCCCCCGAAUGCGCCACGCUUGCACUGACAAAGCAAACAUUUAUUCAAAUGACAAAGGUCACCCCUUCCUUUUUUGACAGCUAUUUUUGUCCGUUUUGCUAAAGUCCAAGGGUAAAGGAACUGCAGAGGCAGGCACGGCACGCUAAGGAUGAGGCUCCAAGCCUCACUUCGGUGUGUUGGAGAGAUUCAGGAAAGAGAAAAUGAGCCUAAGCAGCCAUCCUGGGCAGGAGCCGGGUGGAAGGGCUCAUCCCAUUUGCUUUUCCCACAGCCGUGAGGCCAGGGCAGCCCCAUGAGAGCCCGAUGGCCCCGUCCCCAUGCACCGUGUGUCAUCAGCAGGGACCUGCCCCUUCCAUACCCAAGUACCCCUCAGCCAGCCUCCAGCACCGACGUCCCCCCAGAACAACCCAACGAGCUGUGAGAUGAUGUUUGUGCAUAUUUGCAGGAUGCAUUCCCUCACUCAGGGGGGGUGUUAAUGGGCAGCUGGGCUCCCUGCGAGGUGCUGGCUGCGUCUGGCUUUCAGCAGCACCCCGAGGCUGCGGGAAGGGUCACAGCACAGCCUCCCUGCCUGCACAGAGCAGCCCUCAGCAUCUCAGCAGCGCCCAGAAAGCGGCACCUCGGUGACACCGGGUCACAGCCAGCACCUGAAGAUCCUCCUGGAAAGCACCUCCUGGGUCUGGACCUGCUGAUGGGCUCUGUUCAGUGCAGGGGUGUCCCCUGGGCAUGGCGCAGUGCUGGGGAGGGGGACACACAGUGGAAAGGCGAUGCCAGCCCCCUUUGGAGCCUGGAGGUGUGGGGAUCUGCAGACCCCAAACACUUUGUGCUCCCUGAGCCGGUGAGCCCCAGCCUGGCCCCGUGUCCCCGCACAUUGCAAGGAGGUAGAUGUCCUGGGACAUCACGGGACACAACCACAAACCUUGCCCCUCUCCUGGCUGCUGUUUUGCCUCUGUGUGAGCAGCUCUGCCCAGCCACAGGCAGCAAUGAACGCAGUGAGCCUGCCCCAGCUCUGCCCUGGCCCUGCAGCACGGCACAGCCCCGAGCCACCCGGCGCCGUGCCGAGCCUUCUCCCUUCUCGCCAGGGUGCCUGAGUCAUGCCUGAGUUACAGGAAAACCGUCCUGCGAAACCACAUUCCUGGCGGUAAACCCGGGCUGGGAGCAGCUCUCAGCCGGGUGGCACGCACGCAGCUGCCAGCGGGCUCCUGGGCCGAGCAAAAUGCUUCCUGCUGCAGAUGCUCUCCGGGUGCUCCUGCUCCCCUGAAAAGCCGCCUGGAACGCAGCUUUCCUGCAGAGCCCCAGCCAAGGUUAGUAGCAACAUAUCCCCAGGGAGCCACAGGCUGGAGGAAGAACAUUGACCAGGAACCGCCGGUGGACUUUCUCCAGUUGCUCCAGAGACAAUCCCGAUGACAGCCGAGCUCCCCUGCACGGUCCGAUGACAUGGUUUUCCCUGCUGUGACCAUCUGUGCUGCCUGCCGUUAAUUCCUGCACGUUAAAGAAAAUCCUUCCGAAUAUUAAACCCGCAUGAAGGCACUGGGAGGCUGCCGACCUGCCCUGGGCAUCCCCAGCUCUGCCCCUGCCCCUCUGCUGCUCCCAGCUCCGGCCGUUCCCAGGACACCGAUGAACACUGGAGCACCCAAUGCAGGGCCCCCAGCACUCUCACUGCCUGAUUUCACCCCUUUGCAUUAUUUUAAGCCUCUUUUAUUGAUUUUCUGCACUGCUUCCCUUGCUGGUAGCAGCACUGGCCUCUCCUUGUGUCGCACCCCCAAAGCAGUCUGACCCUCAGGGUGUUCGCGCCCGGCUCACACGUGGGGUGCGAAGCCCCCCCCAGGCUGUGGGGGUAGGUUUAGAGCAGAUUUCUUCUGCUCCCUCUCUCUAACACAAAUCCUGGCCCUGCCACAGGGCUCCGAGAGGACUUGGUGUGUGAUGGAUGCGCACUGUGGGGUCUCUUCCAACAUAAGAUGUUGCCUGGCCGAGGAUAUCGACGUGGUGAUUUCGGAAACAUCAGCCACUUAGCAGAAGCAAAUCCCCAAGCUGCAAUAUUUCAGUGACACUUCACACACUGUGCUGCAGUGGGGCAGUGCCUGGGCUGCCCACCCUGACGGUGUCACCGCCGGCCACGAUGGCUCUGACACCCUGAGCUGCUUCGUUUGGUGGGAAACCUCCCCUCCUGGACCACUUCUUGGGGGAAGAAUUUCAUGGAUAACACUCAGGAGUUGUUUUUUGUUUUUUUUUUCCCUUCAUUUUGCAGUACGGAAGCAAUCCCCAGGCACCCUGACCCAUGCAGGGAGGUCCUUGGCAUCUGCGUUUUGCCUCCACGGCUUUUCCUUGUCGCAGGGAGACUGACAAAUGCCAGACCCACGCUGCUCCCAGGACACGUGCUCAGGUGCGGUGGUGGCCGGAGAGCAUCUGAGCUCACAGCUCGGAUGCAGCCUUGGCCCCGCUUCAGGUUCGUUUCCCUCUGCUGAGCCAAGUCCUGCGGACCGAGGCAUCCGUCCGUGCAGGGUGAACCCCCCCAGCGUUUGUUUUUCUAAGAAAUUAAAACCAAACAAGGGCCGCUCUGUCCCAGCCAUGCCCGAGCAGCGUGACUUCACCCCUGCUAGCCCCUUCUCUUGGCUGUGCAAGAGGACACAAGGCAAAGGUUGCUGUGAUACUGGCAAGGUGCAGGACAGACGGACAGGUCCCUGUGGCUGUGGGUGCUGGUUCCUGCCCGUGGGGUCCCUGUGGGUGCUGGGUGGACGGAGGCUACUGCCUGGGCAACCUGCGGGUGCCAGCCCCGGAGCCACUGCAUCAGCACAGCUGCUGGGGAGGGGCUGCUCAAACCCUUUGUGCUUUGGGGCAUUUUCACCUGCUUGUUUUCAAGUUUUCAAUGCAUUAAUUAAAAACUGUGUUGUUUUUUG